CAGAUACAAAGAUAUUUUAUCUCUGUCUAUAUCUGUUAGCAACAACAACAACAACAACAACAAAAAAAAAAAAAAAAGUGUAGACAGAGAUGUUUUAUGAACCGAAAAAAAGAGGUAAAGCAGCCAGGUGUAAAAGCCCAUUGGAGCGUUAGCUAAAUCUUACAAACCCAAAAGAAGGCCCAGUUUAUCUUUACUUGAAGGCUGUGCUGUAGUGUUGGGUCCAAAAGUCUUGUCUUCCAAGUUCCAAAUUCCAUUGUCGUAUACGCAAAACCUCAAUCAUUACCUUCGUUUCGACUUUUUCUCAAACUUUUAGUAAAUUAGUCUUUUAGAGCUUUCUUAAUCGAAUUUACUUUUUUUCCUUUGACAAUUUUUUUUUGUCGAUAUAGUGUUUUAUUUAACCUUAGUAAAAUCUUGAACUGUAAAACAAAAUAAUAUGUUAAAAAAUCAAUCUUUGUAUUCAACUUACUCUAAUUAGCGUUGUUGACUUGGCCAAAUUAAAUAUAACAAUAUAUGAACUUAACACUUCUGGUCAGUUGAUCAGACUAGCAAGUUUGAUGAACUUCUCUGACUCAUAGUUUAUUUAGUAGAAGAAGUUCAACCCUAUAAAAAAAAUAAAAAAAAAUAAUAAGCCAACUCCAAUUUAAAAGGGGCAUUUCAGUAAAUGAGUAAGUUAGAAGAAUCGUAAGACAAAGGCGAAAGAAAAAGCAUAAUGCCAUUUCCAGGGCUUAUAUAACACCAUAACAGAGGAUCCAUUCUUUUCCCAAUUAUUGCAAAGUCAAUUCGAUUUGUAUAUAUAUAUAUACAAAGCAGAGCUCCCCACAUCUCAAAUCUCAAAACGCCUACAUAUACAUUAUUAUUAGUCACACACUUGUUUAUCAAAUCAUAAACACUUUCUUUGGAUUUAUAUAAUGCAAAAAUACAUACACCCACAUGCUUGAUGUGUGUAUAUAAUCAGUUAAUCACACGCACAUGUUCGAACAUUACUAACCAUCAGUAAGAGGAAGAGAAGGGGAAGAGGUAUGGAGUCAGGUCGGGUAUUGGGGUUGUGUUUGGUUCUUCUGGGAACGGUUCUUGUCUUCUCCGGCU
rnacentral:lncRNA from 1 species